UCUCGGUUGGAGACUUGGAAAAUCCAAGUCACUGAGUGGGAUCGGCUAUAUGAAUCUUAGAACGCCAUUGUGCUCGAUCCUGUGUCAUGUCCUUCGUUAGAUCCAAGUACUCUUAAGUCUUUUCUUAGAGUCUCUUCCAAAGUUUUCCUAGGUCUUCCUCUACCCCUUCGGCCCUGAACCUCUGUCCCAUCGUCGCAUCUUCUAAUCGGAGCGUCAGUAGGCCUUCUUUGCACAUGUCCAAACCACCGUAACCGAUUUUCUCUCAUCUUUCCUUCAAUUUCGGCUACUCCUACUUUACCCCGGAUAUCCUCAUUCCUAAUCUUAUCCUUUCUUGUGUGCCCACACAUCCAACGAAGCAUCCUCAUCUCUGCUACACCCAUUUUGUGUACGUGUUGAUGUUUCACCGCCCAACAUUCUGUGCCAUACAGCAUCGCCGGCCUUAUUGCCGUCCUAUAAAAUUUUCCCUUAAGCUUCAGUGGCAUACGGCGGUCACAUAACACGCCGGAUGCACUCUUCCACUUCAUCCAUCCAGCUUGUAUUCUAUGGUUGAGAUCUCCAUCUAAUUCUCCGUUCUUUUUUGCAAGAUAGAUCCUAGGUAACGAAAACGGUCGCUCUUUGGUAUUUCUUGAUCUCCGAUCCUCACCCCUAACUCGUUUUGGCCUCCAUUUGCACUGAACUUGCACUCCAUAUAUUCUGUCUUUGAUCGGCUUAGGCGAAGACCUUUAGAUUCCAACACUUCUCUCCAAAGGUUAAGCUUUGCAUUUACCCCUUCCUGAGUUUCAUCUAUCAACACUAUAUCAUCUGCGAAAAGCAUACACCAAGGAAUAUCAUCUUGAAUAUGUCUUGUUAACUCAUCCAUUACCAACGCAAAAAAGGUAAGGACUUAAGGAUGAGCCUUGAUGUAAUCCUACAGUUAUGGGAAAGCUUUCGGUUUGUCCUUCAUGAGUUCUUACGGCAGUCUUUGCUCCUUCAUACAUAUCCUUUAUAGCUUGGAUAUAUGCUACUCGUACUCCUUUCUUCUCUAAAAUCCUCCAAAGAAUGUCUCUUGGGACCCUAUCAUACGCUUUUUUUCCAAAUCUAUAAAGACCAUGUGUAAAUCCUUUUUCCCAUCUCUAUAUCUUUCCAUCAAUCUUCGUAAGAGAUAGAUUGCCUCCAUGGUUGAGCGCCCUGGCAUGAACCCGAAUUGGUUGUCCGAAACCCGUGUCUCUUGCCUCAAUCUAUGCUCAAUGACUCUCUCCCAGAGCUUCAUUGUAUGACUCAUUAGCUUAAUACCCCUAUAGUUCAUGCAAUUUUGUACGUCGCCCUUAUUCUUGUAGAUAGGCACCAAAGUGCUCGUUCGCCACUCAUUUGGCAUCUUCUUCGUUUUCAAAAUCCUAUUGAAAAGGUCAGUGAGCCAUGUUAUACCUGUCUCUCCCAAAAGUUUCCACACUUCGAUUGGUAUAUCGUCUGGGCCUAUUGCUUUUUUAUGCUUCAUCUUCUUCAAAGCUAACAACCACUUCUUCCUUCCGGAUUCGACGAUAAAAAGAGUAGUUUCUACACUCUUCUGAGUUACUCAACUCCCCUAAAGAAGCACUCAUUUCAUGUCCUUCAUUGAAAAGAUUAUGAAAAUAACCUUUCCAUCUGUCUUUAACCGCGUUCUCUGUAGCAAGAACCUUUCCAUCCUCAUCCUUGAUGCACCUCACUUGGUUUAGGUCCCUUGUCUUCUUUUCCCUUGCUCUAGAUAGUUUAUAGAUAUCCAACUCUCCUUCUUUGGUAUCUAGUCGUUUAUACAUAUCGUCGUAAGCCGCUAACUUAGCUUCUCUGACAGCUUUCUUCGCCUCUUGCUUCGCUUUUCUAUACCUUUCACCAUUUUCAUCGGUCCUCUCCUUGUAUAAGGCUUUACAACAUUCCUUCUUAGCCUUCACCUUUGUUUGUACCUCCUCAUUCCACCACCAAGAUUCCUUUUGGUGUGGGGCAAAGCCCUUGGACUCUCCUAAUACCUCUUUUGCUACUUUUCGGAUACAACUAGCCAUGGAAUCCCACAUUUGGCUAGCUUCCCCCUCUCUAUCCCACACACAUUGGGUGAUUACCUUCUCUUUGAAAAUGACUUGUUUUUCUUCUUUUAGAUUCCACCAUCUAGUCCUUGGGCACUUCCAAGUCUUGUUCUUUUGUCUUACUCUUUUGAUAUGUACAUCCAUCACCAACAAGCGAUGUUGAUUAGCCACGCUCUCUCCUGGUAUAACUUUGCAAUCCUUACAAGUUAUACGAUCCCCUUUCCUCAUAGUUCAAAGUUCCACUUUGAUUUGCAUCAAUGAAAGUUGCAAGGAAUGUGAACUAUAUUGCCUCAAUCUUUUCCAUUCAUAUUCUUUGCACACCUCUUGUUCAGAGAAGAACAAACUUUUUGGUGAUCCUCGGAAAAGAAAGAGAUGGCGGCAAAUCCUCUUCUGGCAAGAAUGCAAGACAAUCGAUGAUGCAUAGCUGCUGAGGUCCUUCUCCAGGCUGGAAUUCCGAGAGUGCGUGGUGUUUUGAUCCACAGAUUUCAAACUUGAUUGUCCAGAUGGUGCGAGAGGAAGAGAGCCGCUGUUGUUUGAUCAAUGUCUCCAACAGAUCCUCACUUCCCCUGAUCUGAAAUUCUCCAAGGGGGAUAUGCCAUUCCCCUGUUAAAAAAUACCCGAUAUUAUAAAUGCAAAUAUAGACAAGGCAAAAUGAAGAAAGCAAAAGAAAAGGCAAAUUACAAUUUACAAAUCAUCAGUGUUCAACCGAAGAUUGAUGCAUCCUUCUGGUGAAAUCUGUAGUGGAACAACCAGCCUCCUUGUAUAGUAACGCAAUGUACUGGCAUUCGUCCAAACACAGUUAAGUGGUGCUAAAUACAGAUAAGUGUCAAAUUAACUUUGAAGACAAUCAAUUUUGUUGGAAAAUUUGAGGACAAUCAAUUUAACAUAGAUACAGAUAAGUGGUACUAAAUACGUACCUGGCUUUGUCUGGAGAGUAGAGAGUUGGAGAGAGUUGGUGCCAAUAAGCCCUGCUCUCUUCAUCCAUGGUGUUUGUAGACAAAAAUAUGUGUAUGCAGCUACCACAAGAUGACAGAGGCAUUGAAAGAUGAGUAAGCAUUCCGCCAUAUGGAAACCGCAGCAGUAUAUAUAUACACAAGUACCUGAGUGGUUGAUGUAAGCUAACAUCGUUUUCCCUCUGAUAAUCCUAUCUUCACAGUUCAAUAGUUUUCUCUCUGGACCGACGAAGUCCCACAUACAUUCAAUCUUUAUAUAGCUGUUCAAGAGAGCUGAGGUCUAGAGGUCCCUGUCCUGGAAGGAAUUGCGAGAGUGGGAGGUGUUGAAAGUCCAUUUCCAUCCAAAAUAUUUCAAAAUUGACGGUCCAGAAAAUCAGAGCACCAUUUGAUAAUCCCAUCUUUACAGGUUUGCUUGCUCGCUGCAUCAAUUAAACCGAUAUAUCUGUUAGUCCCAUCACAUCUACCAGAAGAUUACAGUUAUGGUGCAAACGGGAGAAGUAUGAGAAAUCAUCCAGGGAUUUACCUCUUCUCAUGCAGGAGAAUCAUAUAUAUCGACUCCAAGUAGUUCCACAGUAUCAGACUACAAAUAAUUCACUCCCCUCGCACUCUCCUGUAAUUUCAUCUGAAACUCUGAUUUAAGCUGGAAUAUUGCUGAGGACAAUCAAUUUAAUAAUAAAUAAAAGUACCUGGCUUUUGUCUUGAGAGUUGAGAGUUGGAGAGAGUGAAAUGAAAGCUCAUAUGAUGGUGAUUUCAUCAUCUAUGUUUAUGCAAGGAAUGCGAGCUAUGUUUCUCCAAUCUUUUCCCUUCUUGUUCCCAUACCUCUUCUUCAGAGAAGGACAGCCCCGGAUCCUCAGAUAAGAAAGAGAUGCCGGCAAACCCUCUUUUGGCAGGAAUUUGAGACUCUCGCAGCCUGAAAUUUGUAGCUGUUGAAGAGAAGUGAGGUGCUCAAAUCCCUUUCCGUCCAAAGAUUUCAGAUUCGAUACAUCAGAGAUUUCGAGAGUGCGAAGAGUGGCAGGGAGAAGUUGUUCAUUGAGCAACGUCUCCACCAGAUCCCAGUUAACGAUAGAUAAUGUUUGUAGGUUGGGAGGCAAACCCCCUUGUGCAAAUGACACCACAUUUGGAAGACACUCUAUCGACAAAUGUUGAAGGGCGGUGAGGGUGUGCAUUCGGUCCGGCAACAACUUCAAAUUCACGCAAUGGUCUACUGAAAAGUAGGUCAGGUUGGGAGUGGGCAAUCCUCCGUCAGGAAAAGAGACAAGAUUUGGAAGACUGCCUAUCAAUAACCUUUGAAGGGCGGUGAGGGUGUGCAUUCGGCCCGGCAACAACUUCAAAUUCUCGCAGUUGUAGACAUGAAAGAAAGUGAGGUUGGGAGUGGGCAAUCCCCCGUCGGGAAAAGAGACAAGAUUUGGACAGUACCUGACAUCCAGGGAGUUGAGAUUUUCAUCUGCUCCUCCUUCAACUGAAAGAGAUUCCAGAUUCUGACAACGCAUUAUACGAAGAGAUGAAAGGCUGGGGAAAAUGCCCAAAGGGAACGACCUCAGAGAAUCACAGCUCUCGGAUAGAUGCAAAGACUGAAGGGAAGUCAAUUUGGCCAUCAUCUCACCUGAUAGAAAUUCUAAUUUCUUGCAAUUUACUAUACGGAGUGACGUCAGCGUGGUGGGCAGACCAUUUGUAGGGAACGACAAGACUGAGGAACAUUCAUAUAAAGUCAAACUUUGAAGACGAUUAGCGUUGUGCAUCAUUUGCGCCGACCACUCUUUCCCACCAACAAAUUCAAUACCAAGCUUCUGAAGCGACGGCAGCGUCUCCGUCGACUCUAGUAACAAUGAGAGACCCGGGCAUCGCCGUAUUGUCAGUUUUUCAAGAGAUCCUCGUAAGGAAUCCCUGUUCAGGGUAUUACUGGCCCUGUUUUCAUGUAGAACCUCACAAUUGUACACAUCAAGUGUUUUCAAGGAAGGAAGAUGAGUGGGCAGGUCUCCUCUCAGCUUCGGACACCAACUUAACCUCAGCUCCUUAAGACGAGGAAAGUCUGGACUUUCACCUCCACUUGGACUAGGCUGCCAUUCCUCCCACUCUGGCAUCUCCCGAAACUCUAGCUUCUCUAAACAUUGAAAUGGUUGAUUUCCCCCGUACAACUCACCACCAACACUCUUAACAACUUUCAUCCUUUCUACGUAGAGCUCUUUCAGAGCAGGUAGCUGACCAACUGGUGGCAGUGAACUGCAAUUACCACAGUCGCUGAGACGCAUCACUUGUAAGUUGGAGAAGGACGAGUCUCCCACCCAAUUCGGGAAACUGAUUCCGCCAUAAAACCUGAUGGUUAGCUUCACCAAAUUUACCGCAGGUUGAAGUCUUUCGAGCACAUAUCUCUCUUUUACGGAAUCAUUGGAAACCACACGACCCCAUGACAACUCUACCUCGUUGAGAUCUUUCUUAUCCUUCAGCAAGGCAUCAAUAGCACCGACUACAUUUUGCAGAUUCAAGAUAGAAAUUUUUCCUCCAAGGUGCGACAACUCCCUCAGCUCUGCAAUGCUUGACCCAGUAGAUUUCCCCAACACAAAAGCUGUCAGUGUUCUCAAACUUUUUAGUCUACCCAUAUGCACCGGCAUCUCUUUUAUUUUAGUUCCACCGAUAUCAAGAUGACGCAAAUGAAUCAAUUUCCUCAUGUCUGCAGGCAAUUCAACAAGAGAAGAACAACCUUUCAACAAUAGAGUUUGUAAAUUGUAGAGAGUACACACUGUAUCUGGUAACCUUUUAAUUGGCGUAUAAGAGAGAUCAAUGUAGCGCAAGUGCAUGUGGUUACCAAUGGAAUCAGGUAAGUGAGUGAUAUUCAUAUAUCUUGAUAAUGAAAUUGCCCGUAAACAUUUUUGUGCUGGCAAUAAAUCAUCUAGAAUCUUAUUGCUUACAUAUCCACCAUUCCAACUAUAAUGUGGUGGUAAAGACACUGGAAAGAAGGUACGCAAAUACUUAACUCCUUUUAAUGGCUCAAAUAUUGGAGAUGUAUCAAAUUUUCCUCUCAUAUAUGACAAGUGGCGAACCUUUUUAGAAACUUCGUGCGAAUUUUUUUGAUCCAACCUAAAACAAAACUCUCCAGACACAAACAUAGCCAAGUCAUUAAUAAGAUCAUGCAUAGUGAAACUUGGUUUAUCCAAUCUUGGUCUUUGAAAUAGUGAACGCGAUAACAGUUCAUUAAAGUACCUUUCACCAACCUCCUCCAUUGCUUUCUUGCUCUCUAAUUGUGGAAUUAAACCUUCUGCCACCCAUAGUAGAAUAGCAUUUUCCUUUUCAAACUCAUAGUCCUUUGGAAAAAUUGAGCAAUAAGCAAAGCAUCGUUUCAAGUAAGCCGGAAGAUAAUGGUAACUCAAUCUUAGAGAAGGAAGAAGACUAUUAGGGUGUGGCAGAUCCCAUAGAUUACUAUCCAAUAUGUGAUUCCACUCCUUGUAGUCUAGGUUGCAACUUAAGAGACCCCCUAGCGUUUUUGCAGCUAGAGGCAAACCGUUGCACUUACAUGCAAUUUGCUUACCAAUUUCAACCAAGUCUGGAUGUGCACCGGGGUUUUCAUUUCUAAAUGCAUGUUUUUCCAGUAACGACCAACAGUCUUCAUCCGACAAUUCUUUUAAAUCGUGAAUAGGAAUAGUAUUGUGCACGAUGGCUGCAACACGUCUGCUCCUUGUUGUUACAAUGACUUUGCUUCCCUUUGCCCCAUACGUGAAAAGAAUUCGUAGACGCUCCCAGUCAUCAUAGUUUUCAUUCCAAAGGUCAUCCAAGACAAGUAAAAAUCUCUUUCCACUCAGUUGUUCCCUUAGUUGAACUUCAAGGGAAUUCAUUUCCAAAUUGUCACAAGGCUUUUUAGUGAUUUCCUCAAUAAGGACCUUAAUCACCCUCAAAGCCUCAUACUGUUCGGAAACACAAACCCAAGCAUGAGUGUCAAAGUGCUUUUUAACUCGUUCAUCGUUGAAAAGGAGUUGAGCAAGAGUUGUCUUACCAACCCCGCCCAUACCGACUAUAGGGACUACAGAAAAAUUACUGCUACUUUCAUUGUCAGAUAGCAGCAGUAGAUCUUUUAACUUGUCUUUAUCUCCAUCCCUACCAUAGGUAUAAAAUCCGCCCUCAACAACAGAAGUUGUGGGAGUUCUUUGUGAAACAUUGCCUCCAACAACAUCUUCUCUAAGACGGAGGAUAUCUUUUUGAUUUGCAAGGUGUUCCAACUUCUUGAAUAAAACUUCUAUCCUACCAUUCAUGCCUUUAUAAUUAAAAGGUUUACGACAGGUAGAAAGGAAGUUCCACACCUGGGUUUUCUUAGUCUGAUCUUUCGCCUUGCGACGCGAAACUUCAGUAUCGAUCUCAUCCACCAAGUCCUCGGCCUCGAACACAGCAUGUUUGAGCUCAUCAAGCCACUUCCCGACGUCGGGGUUGACAAUCUGCUUCUCCUCUGCGUCGUUGAGCACUGCACGGAGAUUCACCAACUUCAUCUUCAGUGUGUCCAGGAGUGAAUAGUCGAGUCUUCUUGCCCGGAAGAAGUCUAUGAACUCUCCGGAGGCAAUCUUGUCGCACAGCACCUGGAUGGAACCGGAGAGCAAAGCCUCUCCAACGAAAGCCAUUUUCUCUUCUUAGCAAAAGGAGUAAUUUUGAUCAAGUAUUUGGAGUUGAGAAACUGAAAAUUAUUCUUGGAAAAGCCUGUAAGAUUACUUCAUGACUGGUGAGACGACUUGAUCUUUUUCUUGGUCAAUAAUGCAGUGGACCACACGCGGCAAACAUGAAGUAGAAAUUGGUGGAGGUUGGAAAACGUUACCAUCCAACAUUAAUUUAUUAAUUAUUUUCUUCCAUGAAAAAAAUCGUUGCUGGUCAUGAAAAUUGGUGGAGGUUGGAAAACAUUACAUCAACCAUUAAUUUAUUUAUUACUUUCUUCCCCUUGUGGAAUAAAUUUUUAGUUGUGACCGGAAUACGAAUAUACACCACAUGUUUUUAUACAAGAAGUAAAAAUUUUUAAUUUUUAAGUUAUUAACAAUUUAACACACAUAACCCACCAUUUAUAUAAGGACACAUGAUGUAUCACCUCGUGUAACGGUCAAAUCAAUAAAAGUGUUCCCUGAGAUUGUCCAUCAUCCAUCAUUUUAGCCAUUCUGUUAAAAAUUCAAUUAAGUGUUUCAGAGCACUUGGCCGGAAAUUUGAGCAAGUUUCAAAGCUUCGUAACUCAAUCAUUUCUUAACCAAAUUCGACUCACAAUAUAUCAAAAUGAAGAUCGUAAAGUGUAGACUAAGAUUGUACCUAUUUGGAAGCCCAAUGGUUGCCGUAGAUGGCCAGAAAAUAGCCUCAAAGUUGCCUGGUCUAAGGGAAAACUUGAAAACUCGCCAGAAACUGGUAAAUCGUUCAUAACUUCUUCAAUACUCAACGAAAUCAAGUGAUUCAAAAAAGAAAAUCAUACUUCUUAAUGAGACGAAGAGAAUGCUACCUUUUUUAGAUGGCUAAAUAGUCGUGGUUUGGUCGGAAAAGGCUCAAAAAUAGCUAUCUUGGUCUCAAGUUAGCCAUCUUCGAGCCGUUUUCCAGCCAAACCACGGCGAUUUAGCCGUCUAAAAAUAUACCAUUCUAUUUGUCUCGUUGAGAAGUAUGAUUUUUGUUUUUGAAUCACGUAAUUUCGUUGAGUAUUGAAGAAGUUAUGAACGUUUAAAGUUUAUCCAGUUUCUGGCGAGUUUUCCAGUUUUUCCUCAAACCAGUCAACUUUGAGGCUAUUUUCCGGCCAUCUCCGGCAGCCAUUGGGCUUCCAAAUAGGUAUAAUCUUAUUGUACACUUUCUUAUCUUUAUGUUGAUAUAUUAUGGGUCGAAUUUGAUUAAGAAACAAUUGAGUUACAAAGCUUUGAAAAUUGCUCAAACUUCUGGCCAAGAGUUUUAGGACACUUAACGGAGUUUUUAACAGAAUGAUCAAAAUGAUGGAUAGUGGACAAUCUCAUGGACCACUUUUAUUGAUUUGAAAUGUUAGGGACCAAAGUGAUGAGUUAUGCAAAUCUCAAGGACCAUUUUGGCUAUUUAGCCUAUUUUCUAUUCUGAUUAUUUAUUUUCUGUAACACGUACUAUAUGCUUUUUGAAGAAAAAUUGAAAAGUUUGUACUUUUUCUUGCUCUGCCAAUCUGUCUAUGUAUUCAACAUGCAUGGAACCAUUCAAGUUUGGGAUUUGGUUUGCAUCAGCAAUGCACUUUACAUCAUGAAUUUGAUUAUGGGAUAAAAUUUUUAGUGUACCUAAAACAUUAUCCGGUAUAUCAAGUAUAAUAAUAUAAUUGGUUGAAAAUUUUGUUUCUUCAAGUUUCUAAUCCAAUUGUCUUGUUACACUUGGUAUAACAAACCGUGUUCCUAACACAUUGAUAAAUCUCUCCACACAUCAGGAGGCCUAAAAUCUAUCAGUCUUGUUACACUUGGUAUAACGGUUAUAAUUAUUAUAACAUUUAAAUGGACAUUUCUAUUUGUAGCCGUUAAAUAAAAAUCCAGCGAUCCGCAUGUGUUGAUCAGGAGGAUCCGCUACUUAUUUGGCUGGCGCGUGCAGCACACUCGCGACUGUGCGUGAGUAGGAGACAAGGGUGCAUACGGUGGGGCCCGCUUAUCAGCCCACUUGUGUUCACCCGAAUUAGAGCUACGUGGCCCUCCUCAGUGUCGUUGGAUUUCCAACGGCUAGUUUUUGUAGACCGUUGGAUUUCCAACGGUAAAAAAAAUUUAAAUUUGACUUUUAAAAUGAACCAUCUGAUCACAGAUCAACGGUCCACAUUUUUUUCACAAAAAAUAAAAAUAAAAAUAAUUAAAAAAAGGCCCAACGGUCAGAAUUAUGACCGUUGGCCACGUGGCAACGCCUUGGCUCCUGGAUUUGAAUAUUUUUCAAAUCCAACGGUCCAGAUUAAUUAUCUAUAUUAAAAUUUAUUAAAAAUUAUGAAAAAAUACAGAAAAAUUAUUAAAAAAUAUAGAAAAGUUUUAAAAAAGUUUUUUUUUUUUUCUAUAAAUACCUAACUCUCAUCUUCUACCUUACACCACAUUUCAAUAUUUUCUACACUUUCUACCAAAGCUUUCAUAUACUUUUUGUGUGAAAAAAAAAAACCAAAAAGCUCAUCCUUAAUGAAUUGAUCGUUUAGCGGUACACUGAUGUGCAAGAGCUAUAUUGGCACGUAACCCGCCAUAAUGACUUGAUUGAGCACUAGUGGAGAUUGCAAGAAGGUGAAGAUAAUUAAAAUAAGCUUGUGGUUGAAGAAUAAAGUGUAUUUGAUGAGUUUAAUGUAAUUUCAUUUUAAUGUGUUUUUUUUUUUAGUUUAUUUGAUGAGUUUAUGUAAUUUUUUUUAGUGUGUGUUUUUUUAAGUUUAUUUGAUGAGUAUGUAAUUUUAUUUUAGUAUGUUUUUUUUAAGUUUAUUUGAAAUUUUAUCCGAAAUUGGUUAAAAAUCUUAUUUGAAAAUAAUUUUAUUUUAUUCUUUAAAAAAAAGAUAUAUAAUAUUUUAAAUGGGCUAGGUGACAGCGCAUUUUGUAGGGAUGAAGAUCGUUUAUGCCAUCGCAUUUUUAGACUGGGUGCCAGUGCAUUUUUUUAAGGGUGGAGAUGUUUUAGCCUAUUACUGUUCACUAUGGUUUAUUACUAUUCGCUUGAGUAGAUAAAUGCGCUGGAUGUUGGCGCAGAGUAUUUAGGUGUGGAAUUGCUCUAAAAAGAACCACGCAAUAAUACAUUUGGAUCUCAACAUUUUUCCAUAGGAUAAGGAUUGUCUGCCCUUCCACUUUUCAUGCCCUUCUAUGCCCUCCUGUUUGUUUGUGUGGUCACGGUUAAGCCACGUCAAUAUUUUAUAUUAUUAUUUAUUUUUAUCUUAUUAUCUCUAUAAAAUAAAGAAUAUAAAAUGUUAACGUGGCUUAACCGUGAUCACAUAAAACAAAAAGGCGGGCAUGGAAAAUGAAAGUGCAAACAAUCCUUGUCAUUUUCCAUAUGAUAUGAUUCCAUGUCCCCACCAUCGUCUUGUCACAUGGCAUCGUCUUGUCACCAUCUUGUCAUUAUUUCUAAUCUGGUUCUAAUUCCAAGGGGAACAUCUUCGUGUGAAAAAUAAAGUAAAAGUUUCGGGCAGGACCUUAAUGUUGGGUUCAAUUUCUACAUUUAUUAUUUACAUUUUUUACUUUUAAUCUCAACCGCUUAUUUUCUACAACACUCAUUACCACGUGCUAUGGAAAAAAAAAAAGAAAUUGAAAAGUUUCUUACUUUUUCUUGCUUUGCCUAUAUUUUCAACAUUUAUGGGACCAUUCGUGUUUAGGAUUUGGUUUGCCUAUAUGUUCAACAUUCAUGGGACCAUUCUGCUUUGCCUAUACUUUCUUGCGUUAACCAAUUUUAAGUCAGGUUAACAUGUUUUUGCACAAAACUAAUUAAGAACACACUCGAGCUGCAUAUUUAUAUUGUCAAAUUAUCGAAUUUAAUGUCACAUAAUUAAACAAAAGUAUACGUUUAUCGUUCUUUAAUUUAGAUUAACAGUGCGCUCCCUCUUUUACAUCUAAAUUUGAACCUUCAUUCUUAACUUUGCAAUUUAGAUGAGUUUAAUAUAAAUUAUCUUAUCGUUUGUUAAAAAACUCAUUUCUUAAAUAAUUAGAUGUGAUAUGUUUAAAUGCAAAUUUGUAACAAAACAAUGGAAAAGAAUAAAUAAAAAUGCAUAAGUACAAAUGUUCAUGGAAGCAAAGGUCUCGAAAACAUAUAUACUCCACAAAAUCUAGCACUAGAGUAUUGAGCCUAGAUAAUAUAACCUCUUCCCCAAUACUAAUUUAUAGCUGAUUUAUUUUGUGAUUUAGUUAAAAUUGCCAAUUCUCAUUAUCCUAAUUUCAUCAAAAAUAAAAUUAGAUAAUACCUUUAAAUUAACCACAAAAAUAACAAAACCGCAUCAAAAUCCUAAUUUUCAAUUCCACUGCAGAGAGAAAUCGAGUAGAUCCCCAUAUCCCCCAAUAAAAUGAAACAUGCAAAUGAGAAUUCAAUAAUUACAACUCAAAUUAAUAGCUUAUGCUUUCAUAGACAUCUGAAUUAUUGAAAAUUUACCCAUGUAGCCCCAGUUAGUCGAAAUCGAUCGAGCAUGAGAGAUUUUCUUUCAUAGACAUUUGUUUUAUAGACAUCUGCUUUCAAACGAGCAUGAGCGACUCGUGUAAAACAAGAUAUAGAUUAAUUUCGACGACAUGCAUCACAUGGUAAACUAUUAGAAUUGGAUAUCUACUUUUCCCUACAAUAAUAAUGAGGUGUUGUUAUUGGAACUCACAAUCAAAAUAUAAUUAUCAUUCAUUUUUCUCUCUUCGUGGCCGAAGGACUAAUUUGGAUCAAGUAUUUGAAGUUGGGAAACUGAAAAUUGUUCUUGGCAAAGGCUGUUAAGAUUACUUCAUGACUGGUGAGUGGUGAGACGACUGAUAUUUUUCUUGGUCAAUAAUGCAGUGGACCACACACGGCAAACAUAAAGUAGAAAUUGGUGGAGGUUGGAAAAAUACAGUAAAAAAAAUCAUGCAAUAUAUUUGAAUUUCACCAUUUUUCCAUAUGAUAUAAUCACAUGGGCCCCACUAUUCUCUUGUCACCACCCUCUUGGCAUCGUAUUGUCACCAUCCUCCACGAUCCUCUUGUCAUUAUUCUACUCUUAUUCCAAGGAGGCAGAUUUUAUGUCUUUCUAUUUUUCGUGCCCUUCUAUACUUUCUUACUUGUAUAGUUACGGUUAAAUCACAUCAACAUUUUAUAUUAUUAUUUUUUUUAUCUUAUUAUAUUUAUAAAAAAAUUAUAUAAAAUAUUGACGUGACUUAACCGUGAUCACACAAAACAAAAAGGCACAUAAAGACACACAAAGUGGGAGGCCAGAUAAUCUGCCUCCUUAUUCCAAAACAUCUACAUGUAAAAAAAAUAUAAUAAGAUCAAUUACCACACGACAAUGAAACAUUGAAUAUCUCAAAAUUGCCCCUUUUAUUACAGAUUAUAAAAAAUAAAAAAAAAGUAAGGACAUGAUGGUAAAACGUGGCAAGGAGAGAAAGUGGAGGAAAGAAACUAGAACGUGCUUAAAGAAAUAAAAGUGUAUUUGAAGCAGUUGUCGUAUUAAUAUCUCAUUCCAAUAUCACUUCUCCUUGCGCUCCAACUUCUCCCGUUCCCUGCAUUCCUCCAGUUUCUCUCUAUGGGUCUUACUUUUCCAUACAAAAACGGAAUCUUUACCUUUAUCUCUUAUGUAAAAUAGAGCACCAAAAUGGGCAAUCUCAAAGUGCUGCAGAGAUACGAUCCCUUCAUCAAAAAGGUUCUGAUUAUGGCUGCCUACGUCACAUUCUACUAAUUCAACAUUGAGAACAAUCAAUGGGUUCGUUUCUCGAAUUGUAACUUCCAAUUAUCCGUUUGGUUGCCCAGAAAAAAAAAAAAAAAAAACACCACAAUUAAUUCUACGAACAACGGAAAUUUGAAAUAUGAAGUGUGAAUCAAUAGGUGGAAAUGUGACACUGAUGUUGGCAAACUUUAUGGUCUUCAAUCUUGAUAAUUUAUGCACACAUUGGAAUCCAUACUUCAUAUGUUCACUUAUAUUUGUUGAUCUCUUGGCACAUCUGUACUAAAUUGUUUGGUAUUAGCCAUUUUCUUUGAUUCAUAUUUCAAUUUUGUAAGUAGCAAGAAUACCUUAGUAAAUGAAAAUAUCAAAAAUAAAAUAAAAAUUGUAAACAGUGCCAAGCGCAUGUAAUUAUAAAAUUGUAAGUCAAUCAUAGCACGUCUGAUUAAAAGCCUCUAAUCCUACCCAUUGUUAACAAUGAUAAACAACUAACGCCACAUAUUUUAGGGGCACGUAGCUCCUAUGAUUUAAAAAUGUCUCUCACAUGAAGCGAACGGAACGUAUCAAAAUCCAUGCAACCUCCUAAUAAAAUUAAAGGAGCUUUAAUGAAAAGGGUUUGAGGCUAAGCUAUUAUUUAACCAAAAAAUCACCAUAAGCUAUUAUUUAACCAAAAAAGCUUCAUAUUUAAUCAUAAGGACAAACUAACUUAUAUUAGACCCAACAAACAGUAAAAGACAUGGGCUGAAUUAAAAGCCCAAAAUGCAAUAAUUUUUUUUUCCAGCCCUGAUUGUAGCAUUAAGUGAUUUGACUCUUAAAUAAAUACAAAAAUAAGCUAUUAUCAUCAAUGUUACCUAUUAUUCAUGUUUUAAAUAGGAAUGCAUCUUAUUAAUCAAGCAACAUGAAUAAAAUCAAAUUAAUCUUAUAGUUCGACUACAAAGCAAAAAUAGCACAUGAAAUUAAAAUUACGUAGUAGCAAUAUACCAUACAAGUCGCCUUGUUAUUUUUUUUAUACAAAUCAAUUUGGAAAUCUUAUUAUUUUUAUUCUCAUCCUGUAAUGUUGCACGAUUAUUUGAACUGUUUAUGUUUAGAUCGUCAUUUAAAAACCAUCUCUACAAAAAGCUAAAUGCAUUCAAAAGUUUUUGCUCAUGUAAUGAUUAUUCAAUAAUUCUUUUGAACACUGAAAUUAUAUUAUUCUAAAAUGGUUUGACGAUAUCUUGUUUGGUUCUUUUGUUGCAAAGUUGCUCUUUAAAUAGUGGCCUAGAUAACAUACGGUUUUGAUUCUUGAGUGACAUUGCUUGAUCACAAAAAAGAAAUGAGAUAGUAGAAAGAAAAAAAAAUCACAAUAGAUUAACCAAAAUAAUUUGGUUCAAAUUUACCUUUAACGAGAAUUAAACUUAAGAUUUCUCAUAUGAAAAUUGUAGUACUAGAAUGUGAAGUUUUUUGGUAAAAGAAAUGAAGGAAAUAAAAUAGCUGGCAUGACAUCAUACUCACCAAUCACGAUGUAUAUGUUCCAUACAUGUGGGGUCUUGGCCUUCCAUUUUUCCUUAUCCGGUCAAUUACUAAGCUAGGUUAGGUUCGGGCAUUGUUAGCAAGUGGUACAUUACAUUUUCAUGGAAGCAUAAUCACGACUCAGGAAGAGGAAAAAGGAAAUAAAAAGCCACUAGAAAUGUAUAUAUUUUCCCAUGGGUGUGUUGUAAGAUUAUGUAUAUUAUAUACAAAUUUAACCAUUAUGAGGUGAUUAAGUGAUUGGGAACGAAUUUUAGACCCAUAUUUUACACGGCAUGUUCUAGGUUAGAUUUUUUGCUCUAGUGAAUCAUACGAUGAUGGCCAGAGGGAUGCCGAAACACUUUUGUGAGUCAUUCUAACCCGGAAAGGGUGGACAUGGCAAAACCACUAGAUAGUUCCCUUUUUAAAAAGAUAAAAAAUAUAUAUACACAAAUUUGCUACACCAACUAGUAUCGAGAAGUCCACAUAAGGUUUGAUUACAAAAGUUAAACUUAAAAGCCGCAGACUUGGGUGGCUAGAGCAAUGUGCUUACUCUUUUGCACCCAAGUUCAAAUCUCCGUUUUCAUAUCUAUAAUUUAGAUGAAUUUAGUAUAGAUUAUCUUAUCGUUUUUUUUUUUUUUAAAUCCUGCUUCAUGAAUAAUUCGAUAUGAUAUGUUUAAACGUAAAACUUGAGUGAAACACAGUGAAAUGAUUAGAAACCAUCUUCACCACAAAUCUGUAACAUAAACAAUUGAAAAGAACAAGUACAAAUGUUUAUAUGAGAGAAGUUGUAAGGACUUGGAUUGUGAGGGUCAUCUCCACUUUGAAAGUAAUAGCUGAAAGUUGGAGGUUCAUGCAGAUUAAACCAUUGGCCAUUGACGAACACCUCAAAAGAGGGAUGAACAGGGAAACCAGCCCUGCUGAAAAUUUUAAGAACAAAAUUAAAAAAUAAACGGUUCAAAGUUCCGAUUUUGUUUUGCCAAUGAAAGUUGCAGGAACGUGAACUAUAUUGCCUCAAUCUUUUCCAUUCAUUUUCUUUGCACACCUCUUGUUCAGAGAAGAACAAAUAUUUUGGUGAUCCUCGGACAUGGCGGCAAAUCCUCUUCUGGCAGGAAUGCAAGACAAUCGAUGAUGCAUAGCUGUUGAGGUCCUUCUCCGGGCAGGAAUUCCGAGAUUGCAUGGUGUUUUGAUCCGCAGAUUUCAAACUUGAUCGUCCAGAGGGUGUGAGCGGAAGAGAGCCGCUGUUGUUUGAGCAAUGUCUCCAACAGAUCCUCACUUCCCCUGAUCUGAAAUUCUCCAAGGGAGACAUAGCAUAGUUCGAUUCCACAGUUAAAAAAUACCCGAUAUUAUAAAUGCAAAUAUAGACAAGGUAAAAUGAAGAAAGAAAAAGAAAAGAAAGGUAAAUUAUAAUUUACAAAUCAUCAGUGUUCAACCGAGAAUCGAUAUAUAUCCUUCUGGUGAAAUCUGUAGCGUAACAACCAGCCUCCUUGUAUAGUAACGCGAUGUACUGGCAUUCGACCAAACACAGUUAAGUGGUGCUAAAUACAGAUAAGUGUCAAAUUAACUUUGAAGACAAUCAAUUUUGUUGGAAAAUUUGAGGACAAUCAAUUUAACAUAGCAACAGAUAAGUGGUACUAAAUACGUACCUGGCUUUGUCUUGAGAGUUGAGAGUUGGAGAGAGUGAAAUUAAGGCUCAUAUGGUGAUUUCAUCAUCUAUCUUUAUGCAAGGAAUGCGAGAUAUGUUCUCCAAUCUUUUCCCUUCUUGUUCCGAUACCUCUUCUUCAGAGAACCCCAGAUGCUCAGAUAAGAAAGAGAUGCCGGCAAACUGCAAACUCUCUUUCGGCAGGAAUUCAAGACUCUCGCAGCUUGAAAUUCGUAGCUGUUGAAGAGAAGUGAGGUGCUCAAGUCCCUUUCCGUUCAAAGAUUUCAGAUUUGAAAGUAUAGAGAUCCAGAGAGUGUGAAGAGUGGCAGGGAGCAGCUGUUCCCUGAGCAACGUCUCCAACAAAUCCUUGUUUCCUUGGAUCCGAAAUUCUCGAAGAGAGGCAAGUUCUUGCAAUCCCCACUCCACUGAAGGCCUCAUUCUCUCACAAUUUUCGAUCCAAAAUGUUUGUAGGUUGGGAGGCGAACCCCUUUGUGCAGGUGACACCAGAUAUGGAAGAUUUUGUAUCCACAAAUGUUGAAGGGCGGUGAGGGUGUGCAUUAGGGCCGGCAACAACUUCAAAUUCUUGCAUUUGGCUGCACAGUCCUGCCAACAACAACAACAACUUCAAUGCAGAAUAAUGCUUCUCCUUUCGCUACAGUCCUGCCAAUGAUAGAGUGGAAUUACUCUCCACUUCCACAGCAGCAGCCUCCAAAUCAGCUGCCAUCGGCAGCCAAUGACGUAGUGUUAUGGCCUAAAAUGUACGUGGUAGAGAAAAAUGAACCCCCGUGUGCACACUUGGCUGCACAUGAAUCAGGGCUGCACAUGAAUCAGAAAAACAAAUACUAUAUAUUAAGAGAAACAAUGAAUGGACCCCUUAGCGACUGGGAAAUCCUGCUAUGUGCGAUAAUGUACAUGAAUCACUACCACGGUUGAGUUGGUACUUACCAAGAAGGUUUCUAAAAAUUUGAGAGCCCGCUGCUCCAACUUUCACCAUCAAACUUGGGUUAAGGCGUAUCAUCGUCUAUUUCUCCACGCCACCUUCCUCUAGAGCAGUUAAUGAAUCAAAUGAUUGCCUGAACAUAUAGUGACCAAAUCUGCAAUGUUCAAAUAAUUUUUUACUUCGUUUGUUAACUUGCUAUGCGAGACACAUGACAUCACACAGGCUAAAAUAUAGAAAACACACCUCUGAGUCCAGAUGCAACUUUGAAUAUUCUCUUGAUUGCUCAUGAAAUCCACAAUGGCGAGAAGAAUGCUAAUAUAUAGAAAACAAGCCGACAAAUACGUUAGUCCCAUCGUGUUGUCCUGACUGAUUGCAUGGUUGAAUUACAUUGAUACAUCGUGUUGUCAGAUAGUGUUGAAGAAGAAUACUUGUCACAAUCAUCAGAUUCAGAUGAGGAGAUUGGUGAUUCUUCACAAGACGAAAAAGAACCAUUCGAUGUUUUUGAUCGUUUCAACGGUGAGCUUCAUAACCUCUUCACAGAUACAAAUUUGGAAACAAAGGCGACGUCGGAAGAGGCACCUAAUCAAACGCAUCAUAUGGUAGAAUUAGAAGAUGUGGAGCAAUUUGAUUUCAAGGAUAUUGGAAAAAACAAGAAAAUGUUAAAGUACAGUAGAAGGAAAAGGUCGGCUUGCGUAUCAGUCAAACGUGAGGCUCAAGAUCAAACUUCCAAAUUUUUGUCAAAGAUGAAAGUUUCAUUGUUUCCUCUGAAAAUGUCUUUAUUCCAUGAAAUGAAGACUGGGAAAGUUAAAGUCAGUAAGAGUGAGGGUGGAAGCAAGGGAGACAAGAAACUUCAAAGGGGUGUUAUCAGACUUAAUGAAGAUAAUUAGCUGGAAUGUUAGAGGAUUGGGAAGUAGACAGAAGAGACUGACAUUGAAACAGCAGUUUUGACGUUUACAGCCCGAUAUCAUUAUAUUAUAAGAAACUAAGAAAACAUCAAUCGAUAGGAGGCUUGUGGCUAGCGUGUGGGGAAGCAGAUUUAAAGAGUGGAUUUUCACCCCUGCUCAAGGAAGUUCUGGGGGCAUAACAGUAAUUUGGAACACCAAACACAUCUCAGUUACUGAAUCUCUGGUUGGAGCUUUCUCUGUCUCCAUAAAAAUUAAGGCUCUCAACGGGUUGGAAUGGUGGUUAUCAGGUGUCUAUGGCCCUUGUAAAAAUAGAGAGCGUAGAGAGUUCUGGGAAGAAAUGGCUGGCCUUUACGGCCUGUGCGGACCAAGAUGGUGUGUAGGAGGAGAAUUUAACGUGGUGAGAUUCGUAAAUGAGAAAUAAAAUGGGGGAAGGUUGACUACAAGCAUGAGGAAUUUUAAUGAUUUCAUUCGAGAAACAGAACUCAAGGAUUUGGAAAUGCACAACGCUCAAUUUACAUGGUCAAAUUUCAGAGAAGAACCUGUGUGUCGGAGGCUAGACAGAUUUCUGCUCUCUGUAGGUUGUGAAGAGAUUUUUCCAGAGGUAAGACAAAUGGCUUUGGCAAGGGUCAUCUCUGAUCAUUGCCCUAUCCAGCUAGAUUCCAACAAGGUGAAAUGGGGGCCAAGUCCUUUUAGAUUCGAAAACAUGUGGCUACAACAUCCAGAUUUCAGGAACAAGUUCAACGUAUGGUGGCAAUCUGAGCAGGUGGAGGGAUGGGAGGGUUACAAGUUUCUGUUCAAGUUAAAAGCCAUAAAAAAAAAGGUGCAAGUAUGGAGUAAGGAGAGUUUCGGGGAAGUCGAGAAAGACUUUAAAGAAGCCGAGGCCAGCUUAGAAGAGUUAGAUAGGAGAGAGGGGACGGAUGGGCUAGAUGUUGAUGCUAGAAGAAAGGGGGAAGAACUACUUUUCCUUGUGGGAGAUCUGGCUUACAAGGAAGAAGUGAAGUGGAGGUAGAGAAGUAAAGUGGAAUGGGCAAAGGUAGGGGACGGUAAUACUAAAUUUUUCCAUCGAGUUGCAAGUGGGAGAAGGAAGAGAAACUAUAUAGAAAGGUUGGAACCGGAUGUUGGGGGAGUGAUAGAGGAUGCGAAAGAGAUAGAAGAACAUAUCGUCAAUUUCUUCAAGUCCCUGUUUAGUAGCAACGAAGAGGCAUGUUGGGGCCUGGAAGGUAUCAAUUGGGCCCCAAUAAGCGAAUUUGAGGCAGAUUGGCUUGAGAGGCCUUUUGAGGAAGCCGAAGUUCAAAGAGCAGUUUUUGAUUGUGGAAAGGAUAAAUCGCCAGGACCGGAUGGCUAUUCUUUGCAAAUGUUUCAGCAUUGUUGGGAUAUCUUGAAGGCAGACAUUAUGAAGAUUAUGGAGGAGUUCUAUGACACAGGGAUAAUAAAUGCGGUGACAAAUGAAACUUUUAUUUGUCUAAUUCCGAAGAAGUCAGAUUCUUUGAAAGUGACAGACUACAGGCCUAUAAGUCUUGUUACUGGUUUGUAUAAAAUUAUGGCGAAAACCUUGGCCUCAAGAUUAAAGGAGGUAUUGGGCAGCACAAUUUCUCCAAAUCAAGGAGCGUUUGUUAAGGAUCGACAAAUUUUGGAUGCCAUCCUUAUUGCAAAUGAAGUGGUAGAAGAGGUCAGGCAAAAGAAAGAGGAGGGAUUGGUGCUCAAAAUAGAUUUUGAGAAAGCAUAUGAUCAUGUCGAGUGGAGAUUUUUGGAUGAAGUCUUACAAAGAAAAAUCUUUGGCAAUAGAUGGAGGAAAUGGAUGCAGGGAUGCUUAAGUUCGGCAAAUUUCUCCGUUUUGAUCAACAGGAGGCCUAGGGGAAAAUUUCAAGCGUCAAGAGGUUUGAGACAAGGUGACCCACUGUCACCUUUUCUUUUUACCUUAGUAGUCGAUGUCUUGAGUAGGUUAAUGGAGAAGGCUCAAGAAAAUCAUCUCAUCAAAGGUUUAUGCAUUGGGCAAGAAAAGGUGGAGAUUUCUCAUCUUCAAUUUGCAGAUGAUACCAUUUUUUUCUUGGCGGAAGAUGAGGGAGUUUGGAACAAUCUAUUAGAGGUGCUCAACUUAUUCUGUUCUGUUUCAGGGUUGAAAAUCAACAAAGCUAAGUGUUAUUUGGCUGGAAUAAACUCAGAUUGUGAGAAAUUAAAUAGGUUGGCAGAUUCUUGGGGUUGUGAGGUGGGUAGCUGGCCUAUAAAGUAUUUGGGACUCCCUCUUGGGGGUAGGCCAAGAGCACUUAAGUUUUGGGAUCCAGUGGUAGAAAGAUGGAAAAAAGACUUCAAAGCUGGAAGAAGGCCUUCUUAUCUACAACAACAACAACAACAACAACAAAGCCUUUUCCCACUAAGUGGGGUCGGCUAUAUGAAUCCUAGAACGCCAUUGCGCUCGGUUUUGUGUCAUGUCCUCCGUUAGAUCCAAGUACUCUAAGUCUUUUCUUAGAGUCUCUUCCAAAGUUGUCCUAGGUCUUCCUCUACCCCUUCGGCCCUAAACCUCUGUCCCGUAGUCACAUCUUCGAACCGGAGCGUCAGUCGGCCUUCUUUGCACAUGUUCAAAAUCACCGGAGCCGAUUUUCUCUCAUAUUUCCUACAAUUUCGGCUACUCCUACUUUACCUCGGAUAUCCUCAUUCCCAAUCUUAUCCUUUCUCGUGUGCCCACACAUCCCACGAAGCAUCCUCAUCUCCGCUACACCCAUUU
rnacentral:lncRNA from 1 species